GAUGAACGCUGGCGGCGUGCCUAAUACAUGCAAGUCGAGCGAACAGAUGAGGAGCUUGCUCCUCUGACGUUAGCGGCGGACGGGUGAGUAACACGUGGAUAACCUACCUAUAAGACUGGGAUAACUUCGGGAAACCGGAGCUAAUACCGGAUAAUAUAUUGAACCGCAUGGUUCAAUAGUGAAAGACGGUUUUGCUGUCACUUAUAGAUGGAUCCGCGCCGCAUUAGCUAGUUGGUAAGGUAACGGCUUACCAAGGCAACGAUGCGUAGCCGACCUGAGAGGGUGAUCGGCAAGACGGGAACUGAGACACGGUACAGACUCCUACGGGAGGCAGCAGUAGGGAAUCUUCCGCAAUGGGCGAAAGCCUGACGGAGCAACGCCGCGUGAGUGAUGAAGGUCUUCGGAUCGUAAACCUCUGUUAUUAGGGAAGAACAAAUGUGUAAGUAACUAUGCACGUCUUGACGGUACCUAAUCAGAAAGCCACGGCUAACUACGUG
rnacentral:rRNA from 1 species